UCUUAUGAAGAUUAGCGGCGGACGGGUGAGUAACACGUGGGUAACCUGCCCAUAAGACUGGGAUAACUCCGGGAAACCGGGGCUAAUACCGGAUAACAUUUUGAACCGCAUGGUUCGAAAUUGAAAGGCGGCUUCGGCUGUCACUUAUGGAUGGACCCGCGUCGCAUUAGCUAGUUGGUGAGGUAACGGCUCACCAAGGCAACGAUGCGUAGCCGACCUGAGAGGGUGAUCGGCCACACUGGGACUGAGACACGGCCCAGACUCCUACGGGAGGCAGCAGUAGGGAAUCUUCCGCAAUGGACGAAAGUCUGACGGAGCAACGCCGCGUGAGUGAUGAAGGCUUUCGGGUCGUAAAACUCUGUUGUUAGGGAAGAACAAGUGCUAGUUGAAUAAGCUGGCACCUUGACGGUACCUAACCAGAAAGCCACGGCUAACUACGUGCCAGCAGCCGCGGUAAUACGUAGGUGGCAAGCGUUAUCCGGAAUUAUUGGGCGUAAAGCGCGCGCAGGUGGUUUCUUAAGUCUGAUGUGAAAGCCCACGGCUCAACCGUGGAGGGUCAUUGGAAACUGGGAGACUUGAGUGCAGAAGAGGAAAGUGGAAUUCCAUGUGUAGCGGUGAAAUGCGUAGAGAUAUGGAGGAACACCAGUGGCGAAAGCGACUUUCUGGUCUGUAACUGACACUGAGGCGCGAAAGCGUGGGGAGCAAACAGGGAUUAGAUACCCUGGGUAGUCCACGCCGUAAACGAUGAGUGCUAAGUGUUUA
rnacentral:rRNA from 1 species